rnacentral:rRNA from 1 species
UACGGGGGGGGCAAGCGUUGUUCGGAAUUACUGGGCGUAAAGGGCGCGUAGGCGGCCUUCUAAGUCGGACGUGAAAUCCCUCGGCUUAACCGAGGAACUGCGUCCGAUACUGAAAGGCUUGAAUCCGGAAGAGGAGAGUGGAAUUCCCGGUGUAGCGGUGAAAUGCGCAGAUAUCGGGAAGAACACCCGUGGCGAAGGCAGCUCUCUGGGACGGUACUGACGCUGAGACGCGAAAGCGUGGGGAGCGAACAGG